CACGUAGGGCGCAAGCGUUGUCCGGAAUUAUUGGGCGUAAAGAGCUUGUAGGCGGUUUGUCGCGUCUGCCGUGAAAGUCCGGGGCUCAACUCCGGAUCUGCGGUGGGUACGGGCAGACUAGAGUGAUGUAGGGGAGACUGGAAUUCCUGGUGUAGCGGUGAAAUGCGCAGAUAUCAGGAGGAACACCGAUGGCGAAGGCAGGUCUCUGGGCAUUAACUGACGCUGAGGAGCGAAAGCAUGGGGAGCGAACAGG
rnacentral:rRNA from 1 species